rnacentral:lncRNA from 1 species
GACAGGUAUGGAGGUGGUGCCAACUUUAUCCAUGAUGGUUACAACAAAGGUACAGCUUUAGGUGCUGAGAUUGUUGGUACCUUUGUUCUUGUCUACACUGUCUUCUCUGCAACUGAUCCUAAGAGAAACGCUAGGGACUCUCAUGUUCCUGUGAGUAUUUUUCUAUAUAAAAAAAUAUAUAUAAAUUCAUUCUUCACUUUUAUUUCUAAGUAUAACUAACUUGAUGAAAUGAUGAACAGGUUUUGGCACCAUUACCUAUUGGGUUUGCUGUUUUCAUGGUUCACUUGGCUACUAUUCCGAUCACCGGUACCGGUAUUAACCCGGCAAGAAGUUUCGGAUCCGCUGUGAUCUUAAACCAGGGG